GGGGAUGUAGCUCAGUGGUAGAGCAUUCGACUGCAGAUCGAGAGGUCCCCGGUUCAAUCCCGGGCGUCCCCU
rnacentral:tRNA from 1 species